rnacentral:lncRNA from 12 species
GCCUGGCAGCCGACUCUGUGCUCUGUGCCAGGUGGGGAGCACCCCUGGGCCCAGAGGAUCUGUCACUUUGCCCCUGGGCUGGCCUGGGCAGUGGGACUGCGGCCUUCUGCCCCGGGCACCCUCCACUGUCUGAGAGGGAGGGUCUAGGCUGGGAGACGAGGCUCCUCGGGGGCUGCCCCCCCACCGGCUCUGCACCCCCAUGGUCCGCGGCCAUCAGCCCACGGGGAUGGAGGACGGGGCCCCGGGACACGUGUUCCCGUGAGCCCCCGGGGAGGCCAGUGUGUCCAGUGCCCACCCUGGCUCCCUCUGGCUCUACCAAGUGCAGCUGAGAGGGACGGCCUUGACCCCAGCUCAGCCCUCCGUCUGCCCUCAGGCGCCCUGACCAAACAGGAUAGCUCCAAACUGGCAGAGGAAAGUAAAAGGGAAGCCAGCCCCUCCCUUGGCAGAAGGGCCGGCCCUGGAGCCUCUUUGUACUCCGGCUUUCCUCCGUGUUGUGGAUGUGCACGCACACGCUCACCAAGCCCAGCACCAGGCUCCCAGCGGACAGGGCCCUCCCGCAGCCCGGCCGAAGGACGCUCAGGCGCCCGGCUCCCCCAUGGAACCCUCUGGCGUGACCCCCUGUGCUCGCAGCCCCCCACCCCACCCCUGGGCACUCAGGUGGGUGGCAACCUUCUGACUUUCCGGCUCCCUUUGCAGCGAUUGCUCCUGGAGAACAUGUUCAGGGCAGGCAUGACCGCCCGCGAGGAGGAGGGAAACAGAGGGACCGCUCUUGCACGACGUGGACGCGUGACCAGGAAGCACAAGAAGGCCUGUCCAGGAGGCUCUACCCCAUGUCCAUCACUUGGGCAAAACACAAAAGUUCUGUGCGUGGGGUCCCGGGGAGGACUCGGAAUGCAGGUGCUCCCAGCUAUACGGUGGCGUGUUCGGGGUGUGCGCCAAGCGGCUGCGUGGAGGGCACAUGGAGGGCACCAGGGCUCCUAAUAAAGCCCAGGGCAGGCCCCUCGUGCCUGAGAUUCACUCCGAUCCUGUGGGCUCCCCAGCGUGCAUGGGCACUAGGAGGGCCGGGCCCCGGGGGACCCUGGGUUUCCACAGAUAUGCAUGUGUGUGUGUGUGUGCACACACUUGUGUGCACGUGCCCAAAGAGCAACCUGUAGCUUCUGUAAUUAAAAUGAAAAACAAUGAUACAGAUACAGUAGAAAUAAAACCCUCCUAAAAAAAAAAAAAAAAAAAAAC